AGCGAACGCUGGCGGCAGGCUUAACACAUGCAAGUCGAGCGGGCCCUUCGGGGUCAGCGGCAGACGGGUGAGUAACACGUGGGAACGUACCCUUUGGUUCGGAAUAACGCUGGGAAACUAGCGCUAAUACCGGAUACGCCCUUUUGGGGAAAGGCUUGCUGCCGAAGGAUCGGCCCGCGUCUGAUUAGCUAGUUGGUGGGGUAAUGGCCUACCAAGGCGACGAUCAGUAGCUGGUCUGAGAGGAUGAUCAGCCACACUGGGACUGAGACACGGCCCAGACUCCUACGGGAGGCAGCAGUGGUGAAUAUUGGACAAUGGGCGCAAGCCUGAUCCAGCCAUGCCGCGUGAGUGAUGAAGGCCUUAGGGUUGUAAAGCUCUUUUGUCCGGGACGAUAAUGACGGUACCGGAAGAAUAAGCCCCGGCUAACUUCGUG
rnacentral:rRNA from 1 species